rnacentral:rRNA from 1 species
UACUGUGGAGGGCAAGCGUUGUCCGGAUUUAUUGGGCGUAAAGAGCGUGUAGGCGGCUUGGUAGGUCUCGCGUCAAAACCUGAGGCUCAACCUCAGUUCGCGUGGGAAACCACCAAGCUAGAGUCCGGAAGAGGAGAACGGAAUUCCCAGUGUAGCGGUGAAAUGCGCAGAUAUUGGGAAGAACACCAGUGGCGAAGGCGGUUCUCUGGGACGGUACUGACGCUGAGACGCGAAAGCGUGGGGAGCGAACAGG